UCGGGAAUUUUGGGCAAUGGGCGAAAGCCUGACCCAGCAACGCCGCGUGAAGGAUGAAGUAUUUCGGUAUGUAAACUUCGAAAGAAUAGGAAGAAUAAAUGACGGUACUAUUUAUAAGGUCCGGCUAACUACGUGCCAGCAGCCGCGGUAAUACGUAGGGACCAAGCGUUGUUCGGAUUUACUGGGCGUAAAGGGCGCGUAGGCGGUGUGUCAAGUCAGUUGUGAAAUCUCCGAGCUUAACUCGGAGCGGUCAACUGAUACUGUCACACUAGAGUACAGAAGGGGCAAUCGGAAUUCUUGGUGUAGCGGUGAAAUGCGUAGAUAUCAAGAGGAACACCUGAGGCGAAGGCGGGUUGCUGGGCUGAUACUGACGCUGAAGCGCGAAAGCUAGGGUAGCAAACGGGAUUAGAUACCCCGGUAGUCCCUGAGCGGGCUGGCAAGGCGCAU
rnacentral:rRNA from 1 species